UUUCCGUAGGUGAACCUGCGGAAGGAUCAUUACAGAGUUCAUGCCCUCACGGGUAGAUCUCCCACCCUUGAAUAUUUAUACCUUAGUUGCUUUGGCAGGCCGUGGAAACACCAUGGGCUCCGGCUUAUGCGUGCCUGCCAGAGGAAACAAACGCUGUUUUCAGUGAUGUCUGAGUACUAUAUAAUAGUUAAAACUUUCAACAACGGAUCUCUUGGUUCUG
rnacentral:misc_RNA from 1 species